GAUGAACGCUGGCGGCGUGCUUAACACAUGCAAGUCGAACGGGAAACCUUUUAUUGAAGCUUCGGCAGAUUUAGCUGGUUUCUAGUGGCGGACGGGUGAGUAACGCGUAGGUAACCUGCCCUAUACAGGGGGAUAACAACCAGAAAUGGUUGCUAAUACCGCAUAAGCGCACAGGACCGCAUGGUCCGGUGUGAAAAACUCCGGUGGUAUAGGAUGGACCCGCGUUGGAUUAGCCAGUUGGCAGGGUAACGGCCUACCAAAGCGACGAUCCAUAGCCGGCCUGAGAGGGUGAACGGCCACAUUGGGACUGAGACACGGCCCAGACUCCUACGGGAGGCAGCAGUGGGGAAUAUUGCACAAUGGGGGAAACCCUGAUGCAGCGACGCCGCGUGAAGGAAGAAGUAUCUCGGUAUGUAAACUUCUAUCAGCAGGGAAGAUAGUGACGG
rnacentral:rRNA from 1 species